GAUGAAGAACGUAGCGAAAUGCGAUACUUGGUGUGAAUUGCAGAAUCCCGUGAACCAUCGAGUCUUUGAACGCAAGUUGCGCCUCAAGCCAUUAGGUUGAGGGCACGUCUGCCUGGGCGUCACAUAUCGUUGCCUGAUGCCAGUUUCCUCGUGAUGGGUGACUGUGCAGGGCGAAUGAUGGCUUCCCGUGAGCAUUGUUGCCUCAUGGUUGGUUGAAAAUUGAGUGCUUGGUAGGGAGCGCCGUGAUAGAUGGUGGUUGAGUGACGAACGAGACCCAAUCAUGUGAGACCCCUACCGAAUUUGGCCUUCAUGACCCACAUGCGUCUUUGGAACGCUCAUGACGAGACCUCAGGUCAGGCGGGGCUACCCGCUGAGUUCAAGCAUAUCAAUAAGCGGAGGA
rnacentral:misc_RNA from 1 species